rnacentral:tRNA from 1 species
CAUCGCAGGCGAUGCCGGGGUCGCCGCGCAGUUGUAGCUUGGGCGGGCGUCGUUUGCCACGCCGCUCGCACUGGUUCAGCGUCAGCUGCGACAC